GGUCAUUGUCUCUGCUGCUUCCCACUGCAGCUUUAUAUAAUAAAACAAGCCGCGUCAAAUAGGCUAGGCUGUAAUAUUAGGUAAAAUCUAAUUUCAGUUUGGUUAUCACAUAGCGUUCAUUUCCCUAAGGGAGGAGAAAAAAUUAAAUUUGUAAGCUUAAGAUUCCAGCUGAAGUACUCAAGAAUCCUGUUUCUCUGACAGAGGAAAGGAACAACUUGACUGGACACAUCCUAACCCAACCAUACGCUGUGUUACUUCCUCCACUGUGCCACACACAGCUAUUAUUCUAAGCUUUCUUAUUCAAACCCUUAAGGAUUUGUAAGCUUUUUCUGCUUUCUGUUUUCUCUGAAAGAGCCGUGAAUGAUGAGACGACAAAAUAUUGGAUUAUUUGUGCUCUUGAAACAGAUGCCACCUGAGUUGUGACAGGUAUUUUAAGUAUAAUCUUCUGCAUUCACUUAACACUCUCAUUUGAAAAUUUUCAAACCUUGGGCAUAUUCUUGUUCAUUUACCACUGAAAUGAGUCACCUCUUGGGUGUGAAGAGAAAGCUAGGAAUAAAAUGGGAACAAGGAAUGCAGGUGUAAGGGAACAGUAACAGAGAAAUCGGAAGUAUCUUGCAAAGUUUAACUGGCUCCAAAUGCAGAUGUAGAACAACCAGGGAGAGUGGAUAGUUUGAUUUUUUUUUUCCUGAAAGAGCACCCUACAUUAACGUCAAUAAAC
rnacentral:lncRNA from 1 species